UCUCGUUAUUCUACUCCAAACGAACUAAAACAAAAUUAUUUGGUCUGCCCAAUCGGGGACAAAAUAACACUUCUUUGGUCUUUUCUUCGAAAGCAUCCAAAAUCUAAAAUACUUGUAUUCUUUGCCACCUGCAAACAAGUUAAGUUUUUCCACGAUCUCUUUCGUUCUCUUCGACUGGGGUCUCCACUUUUGUGUAUUCAUGGAAUGAUGAAACAGCCGCAGCGGAUUAAAGUAUUUAACGAAUUUGACACAAAAAACUGCACUUUGUUU